rnacentral:rRNA from 1 species
GGCAGUCAGAGGCGAUGAAGGACGUGCUAAUCUGCGAUAAGCGUCGGUAAGGUGAUAUGAACCGUUAUAACCGGCGAUUUCCGAAUGGGGAAACCCAGUGUGUUUCGACACACUAUCAUUAACUGAAUCCAUAGGUUAAUGAGGCGAACCGGGGGAACUGAAACAUCUAAGUACCCCGAGGAAAAGAAAUCAACCGAGAUUCCCCCAG